rnacentral:rRNA from 1 species
UACGUAGGGCGCAAGCGUUGUUCGGAAUCACUGGGCGUAAAGGGGCGUGUAGGCGGUCCGCUAAGUCUGAUGUGAAAAGCCCCGGGGCUCACCCCCCGGAAGUGCAUUGGAAACUGGCGAACUCGAGCCCGGAGAGGAGAGUGGAAUUCCUGGUGUAGCGGUGAAAUGCGUAGAUAUCAGGAGGAACACCGGUGGCGAAGGCGGCUCUCUGGACGGUGACUGACGCUGAGACGCGAAAAGCGUGGGGAGCAAACAGG